GAUGAAGAACGCAGCGAAAUGCGAUAAGUAAUGUGAAUUGCAGAAUUCAGUGAAUCAUCGAAUCUUUGAACGCACCUUGCGCCCUUUGGCCAUUCCGAAGGGCAUGCCUGUUUGAGUAUCAUGAACACCUCAACUCUUCAUGGUUUUCCGUGAUGAGCUUGGACUUUGGGGGUCUUGCUGGCCUAUGGUCAGCUCCUCUAAAAUAAAUCAGCUUGCCAGUGUUUGGUGGGUAUCACAGGUGUGAUAACUAUCUACGCUUGUGGUUUUCCACCAGGUAACCUUCAGCAGUGGAGGUUCGCUGGAGCUCACAGAUGUGUCUCUCCUCAGUGAGGACAGCUCUUUGAAUGUUUGAUCUCAAAUCAGGUAGGACUACCCGCUGAACUUAAGAAUAUCAAUAAGCGGAGGA
rnacentral:misc_RNA from 1 species